UACGUAGGGUCCGAGCGUUGUCCGGAAUUAUUGGGCGUAAAGGGCUCGUAGGCGGUUUGUCACGUCGGGCGUGAAAACUCAGGGCUCAACCCUGAGCGUGCGUCCGAUACGGGCAGACUAGAGGUAUGCAGGGGAGAACGGAAUUCCUGGUGUAGCGGUGGAAUGCGCAGAUAUCAGGAGGAACACCGGUGGCGAAGGCGGUUCUCUGGGCAGUAACUGACGUUGGAGGAAGCGAAAGCGUGGGAGCGA
rnacentral:rRNA from 1 species